UGGUUCACCUAUAUGUUAGUUUUGCUCAAAACAAGUUUUAGUCUUAUAAGAACAUAUUUAGUGUUUAGACUCUAUGAAAUGCUUGUAAAUUGCUGCAUGCAUUAAUCUCUCUUGUAAUGUCAGUAUUCUAUGCUAUAAGAAAAUACGUAAGUUUUGCUUUGAACUUUUGAAAAUGUUUGCAG